rnacentral:rRNA from 1 species
UACGGAGGGUGCGAGCGUUGUCCGGAAUCACUGGGCGUAAAGGGCGCGUAGGUGGCUCGUUAAGUGGUCGGUGAAAUCCCGGGGCUCAACUCCGGGGCUGCCGGUCAGACUGGCGGGCUAGAGCACGGUAGGGGCAGAUGGAAUUCCCGGUGUAGCGGUGGAAUGCGUAGAUAUCGGGAAGAACACCAGUGGCGAAGGCGUUCUGCUGGGCCGUUGCUGACACUGAGGCGCGACAGCGUGGGGAGCAAACA